CACACCGCCUGUCACACCAUGGGAGUGGGUUCCACCAGAAGUAGUUAGCCUAACCGCAAGGAGGGCGACUACCACGGUGAGAUUCAUGACUGGGGUG
rnacentral:rRNA from 1 species